UGGGGAAUAUUGCACAAUGGGCGCAAGCCUGAUGCAGCAACGCCGCGUGAGGGACGACGGCCUUCGGGUUGUAAACCUCUUUUGGCAGGGAAGAAGCGAAAGUGACGGUACCUGCAGAAAAAGCACCGGCUAACUACGUGCCAGCAGCCGCGGUGAUACGUAGGGUGCAAGCGUUGUCCGGAAUUAUUGGGCGUAAAGAGCUCGUAGGCGGUUUGUCGCGUCUGCUGUGAAAACCCGAGGCUCAACCUCGGGCCUGCAGUGGGUACGGGCAAACUAGAGUGCGGUAGGGGAGAUUGGAAUUCCUGGUGUAGCGGUGGAAUGCGCAGAUAUCAGGAGGAACACCGAUGGCGAAGGCAGAUCUCUGGGCCGUAACUGACGCUGAGGAGCGAAAGCAUGGGGAGCGAACA
rnacentral:rRNA from 1 species